GAGUAGUGUGGCAGCUCCAGACAGGACAGGAAGUGAAGGCAGCAGAAUACAGGACGCAGUCAGGUUGCAGGAAGAUUUUGGAGACCAUAGCAGUCCUGUGCAACACUGGAUAUGAGUGUGCAAUAUACCAUCUUAAGGAACCGGCGAGUCAGAAUGUCUGAGAAGAUCAAGUGUGCUUCACCACUGAUGAUGAUGAGCUGGAUACCAGCUUAUGGGCUAAUUUCUUUCAUUCAUUGCCAGAGGACGGGACCAGAUGUGUUUGGAGUUGAAGACAAUGCUGAAGACCAAAGAAGCAACGGAAGAAGAACAUUUAAGCACUGAGGGUGGCCUGUUUGCCAUGACAGAUCCAGCGGCUAGAUGGCGGAAGAUGCUUCAAUACCCAAUUGCACUGAAUCAUUAGAUGAUCAAUUAAUUAAUAUUAAUAUAUAUUUUUAAAUUAUCUUAUUAUAUUAAAUAAUUGGUCUCAGUUUACUAUUUCAUAUAUUAGUUUGAAUAAUAAUGUUUUUAUAAUGUGUACGCCAUGCCUGAGGAGGAUGGGUUCCCCCUGAUGAGUCUGGUUCCUCUCAAGGUUUUUUAUCUCCUUAAGAGUUUUUUCCUUGCCACCGUCGCCACUGGCUUGCUCACUGGGGGUGUUGUGUCAAAUCCUGUGUCCCUCUCGCGUCCCUGCCGACCAGGGUUUCCAAAACAACAGUUUGCGACUCGAUGAAAUUUAUUAAUUAAAUCAUAGAAAUUUAAACGACUAAAAAUGAAAUCAUGUUAUGGCUUAGUCACUUACGGUAAAGCAGUAAGCCCUGUGAUGCUGUGAUUAACAGUGCUUUCAGAACUGCUAAGGGGUGUUGCUGUUUUCUGAAAUCACAGGGCUUAUGUAUGGCCUUAUGCCCUUUAUAAACACUUGUGCAGUAAUAGACGAAAUC